rnacentral:rRNA from 1 species
GAUGAACGCUGGCGGCGUGCCUAAUACAUGCAAGUCGAGCGAACGGACGAGAAGCUUGCUUUUCUGAUGUUAGCGGCGGACGGGUGAGUAACACGUGGAUAACCUACCUAUAAGACUGGGAUAACUUCGGGAAACCGGAGCUAAUACCGGAUAAUAUUUUGAACCGCAUGGUUCAAAAGUGAAAGACGGUCUUGCUGUCACUGAUAGAUGGAUCCGCGCUGCAUUAGCUAGUUGGUAAGGUAACGGCUUACCAAGGCAACGAUGCAUAGCCGACCUGAGAGGCUGGUCGGCCACACUGGAGCGGAGACACGGACCAGACUCCUACGGGAGGCAGCAGAAGGGAAUCUGCCGCAAUGGGCGAAAGCCUGACGGAGCAAGGCCGCGUGAGUGAUGAAGGUCUUCGGAUCGUAAAGCUCUGUUAUUAGGGAAGAACAUAUGUGUACGUAAAUGUGCACAUCUUGACGGUACCUAAACAGAAAGCCACGGCUAACUACGUG